GGGCAGGGCGACACGUCGUACGACGGAGCAGAACACGUCGCCUUCGUUCCACUGGUUGCCGGCCAGUUCGCCCGCCAUCGAGGCGUAUCCGCGCAGGAUCACGGCCAGGCCGUUGACCCGUUCACAGGAUCGGGUGUUCAUCUU
rnacentral:misc_RNA from 1 species